rnacentral:rRNA from 1 species
UACAGAGGGUGCGAGCGUUGUUCGGAAUUAUUGGGCGUAAAGCGCGAGUAGGCGGGACGGCAAGUCGGGUGUGAAAGCCCUCAGCUCAACUGAGGAAGUGCGCCCGAAACUACCAUUCUUGAGUGCCGGAGAGGGUGGCGGAAUUCCCGGUGUAGAGGUGAAAUUCGUAGAUAUCAGGAGGAACACCUGUGGCGAAAGCGGCUCACUGGACCAUAACUGACGCUGAUGCACGAAAGCUAGGGGAGCAAACAGG